GACGAACGCUGGCGGCGUGCUUAACACAUGCAAGUCGAACGGAAAGGCCCUGCUUUUGUGGGGUGCUCGAGUGGCGAACGGGUGAGUAACGCGUGAGUAACCUGCCCUUGACUUUGGGAUAACUUCAGGAAACUGGGGCUAAUACCGGAUAGGAGCUCCUGCUGCAUGGUGGGGGUUGGAAAGUUUCGGCGGUUGGGGAUGGACUCGCGGCUUAUCAGCUUGUUGGUGGGGUAGUGGCUUACCAAGGCUUUGACGGGUAGCCGGCCUGAGAGGGUGACCGGCCACAUUGGGACUGAGAUACGGCCCAGACUCCUACGGGAGGCAGCAGUGGGGAAUAUUGCACAAUGGGCGGAAGCCUGAUGCAGCAACGCCGCGUACGGGAUGAAGGCCUUCGGGUUGUAAACCGCUUUCGCCUGUGACGAAGCGUGAGUGACGGUAAUGGGUAAAGAAGCACCGGCUAACUACGUG
rnacentral:rRNA from 1 species